UGCAGUCGAGCGGGCCCUUCGGGGUCAGCGGCGGACGGGUGAGUAACGCGUGGGAACGUGCCUUCUGGUCUGGAAUAACCCUGGGAAACUAGGGCUAAUACCGGAUACGCCCUUUUGGGGAAAGGUUUACUGCCGGAAGAUCGGCCCGCGUCUGAUUAGCUAGUUGGUGGGGUAACGGCCUACCAAGGCGACGAUCAGUAGCUGGUCUGAGAGGAUGAUCAGCCACACUGGGACUGAGACACGGCCCAGACUCCUACGGGAGGCAGCAGUGGGGAAUAUUGGACAAUGGGCGCAAGCCUGAUCCAGCCAUGCCGCGUGAGUGAUGAAGGCCUUAGGGUUGUAAAGCUCUUUUAUCCGGGACGAUAAUGACGGUACCGGAGGAAUAAGCCCCGGCUAACUUCGUGCCAGCAGCCGCGGUAAUACGAAGGGGGCUAGCGUUGCUCGGAAUCACUGGGCGUAAAGGGCGCGUAGGCGGCGUUUUAAGUCGGGGGUGAAAGCCUGUGGCUCAACCACAGAAUGGCCUUCGAUACUGGGACGCUUGAGUAUGGUAGAGGUUGGUGGAACUG
rnacentral:rRNA from 1 species